ACAAAUCUGAACUAUCACGAAAAAUAAGACCUCUUGGUAAAAGUGCUAAGCUAGCACACAAUAUUGUCCUCACCAAACCUGAUAAUGUAGAAAUGGUUGAAUGGAAAGCAUUUGUGAAACAACGAACUUCCAAAGAAUUUAAGGCAAAGAGUAAAAGAUUUAGGGCAAUGAGAAAAAAGCAAACCCUCUUUCACACCAUAAGUCAUAAAGGUUAUGCACAAUUAGAGGAUGAAAUGGUAAAUUUAAGAGUGAUUCAAGUAAUUUUGUAAAUUGGGUAUGAAGUAUGGUUACUUUGAGAUUGUUUUAAUCAUGUUGAUUUUCAUUUUCUAUUUUAUUUUCUAGAGAAGAGAAAGUCGAGCACCAUCAUCCAUAUCAAGAGUUGAUGUUUGGAUUAAAGGGCAUACGAGGAAGGAAGGAAAAUCCAUGAAUGAAGUGCUUGAUGCGACUGUGGUGAAUGAAGUUGGUUCUAUUACUGAAAGCAUUGAAGCUAUGAAAUUAUCUAAACGUGGUGGUUCUUCAAUUGCAAACCUUCCAACUGGU